rnacentral:rRNA from 1 species
GACGAACGCUGGCGGCGUGCUUAACACAUGCAAGUCGAACGGAAAGGCCCUGCUUUUGUGGGGUGCUCGAGUGGCGAACGGGUGAGUAACACGUGAGUAACCUGCCCUUGACUUUGGGAUAACUUCAGGAAACUGGGGCUAAUACCGGAUAGGAGCUCCUGCUGCAUGGUGGGGGUUGGAGAGUUUCGGCGGUUGGGGAUGGACUCGCGGCUUAUCAGCUUGUUGGUGGGGUAGUGGCUUACCAAGGCUUUGACGGGUAGCCGGCCUGAGAGGGUGACCGGCCACAUUGGGACUGAGAUACGGCCCAGACUCCUACGGGAGGCAGCAGGGGGGAAUAUUGCACAAUGGGCGGAAGCCUGAUGCAGCAACGCCGCGGGCGGGAUGACGGCCUUCGGGUUGUAAACCGCUUUCGCCUGUGACGAAGCGUGAGUGACGGUAAUGGGUAAAGAAGCACCGGCUAACUACGUG